rnacentral:rRNA from 1 species
UGGGUAACCUGCCUCAAAGAGGGGAAUAGCCUCCCGAAAGGGAGAUUAAUACCGCAUAAUAUGUUUAGGUCGCAUGACUUUAACAUCAAAGGAUUUUCUUUUAGAAAUUCCACUUUGAGAUGGACCCGCGGCGCAUUAGCUAGUUGGUGAGGUAACGGCUCACCAAGGCAACGAUGCGUAGCCGACCUGAGAGGGUGAUCGGCCCACAUUGGAACUGAGACACGGUCCAGACUCCGUAGGGACGG